rnacentral:lncRNA from 1 species
UGAUCGUUUUUGAGUUCUUCUCUGCUGCUGGUGUUUUUGGGCAGAAUUGUGAACUUAUGAGUUUUCUUGAUGCUAGCUUUGGAGAAAGUUGGAUUUUGGACCAGAGGAUGAUCCUCCAGUAUAUUUCUCUAGUUUUGGGACCUACCUUCAUCGGAUUUGAACAUCAGAAGGUAAUUUUGAAAUUGAAAUUGGGAUGAAAUUAGCUUAAGUGCUGAAAUUGUUGAUGUAUUGAUGGUUUUUGGUGGAUUUGUAUGUGUAGACCGUUGAGUAGUGUAGUUGCUAGUUCUGAGGGUGUUCGGCUGAGACUUCCAGCAUUUUCGAGACUUUGUGCUGCAGUAGGGUUGUGCUUGAGGUGGGUUAAUCAUCGGAUUCUUCUCCUAAUAGUAUGAAUAGUCAACAGGUGUAGGUGUCAGCCUUUGCUUAUCAUGUUUUAGCUCGAAUUCAUCGAUUGCCUGUUAAACAAAAUCUGAAUUUGGAGCAUACUAUAGUAAGUUAUCUCAUACAUGUUGGACUUGGAUUUGACUUAGGAGAAAACUAGCGAUUCUACCUCGUCAUAUGUUAAAACUAUUAUAUUUAGCUCUAGGAGCCGUAGCUUGAUUGUAUUACCGCGGUUUGUGGGCGGUGGAUAUUCUGGAUAGUGUAGAUUAUGUUUACGCUCGGGCUGAGAUGCCGAGCUUAUUUUUAUAGCAGGGUUUAGACUGUUCCGGACCGUCGGGUGCCGUUGAGGUUGACGGUGGACCCAGAUUGCUGUUGUUGCAUCAGAUUGUG